GCAUUUCGAUUUUUUUUCAACCAACUUUUAACCUAAAUCCAAUGACAUGGUGAAUUGUUUUUGUUCAUUACGCGUUGAAUUCACGUUGACAACUCAACCAAAUUUAAAUCGCGAGUUGAUCUGACAUCUGUGCCCAGUGAGUAUUGUAGUGUACAGAUAAUCACUGAUCGCUCAUGAAUUGCACUUUUUCUAAUACUGCUGAAUAUGAUUGUUUUUACUAGGCAAGUCAGUUAAGAACACAUUCUUAUUUACAAUGACGGCCUACCGGGGAACAGUGGGUUCAGGGGUAGAACAAUAGAAUUUUACCUUGUCAGCUCCGGGAUUUGAUACAGCAACCUUUCGGUUAUUGGCCAAACGCUCUAACCACUAGGCUACCUGCGCACCAGUUGCAAAAAGAACAACGCAAAUAUUAUUUUCAUGUUAUGUUUGAUGUUUGUCACAGGUGUGUGCUCAUACUUUACAAUAUUAUAUCAUGACCGUGUGGCUUCACGGCAACAUUUGUCAAUCAGGGUCAUGUUGAAGUAACCCUUGAUGUUUGGCCAUGUCUCCAGUCAGGUGUCGACGACGCGGCUACCAAACAGACAUUUUAGGCCAUGCAGCACGCAUACAACACCAACAGACAUAGCUCAUAUCGACGCUUGGCUUUUAGAAUAAUCCAAACCCGUAGAUCAUCUCACUUUUGCCACCUAAAAAAAGACGGACGUUUUGUUAAACGGUAUUCAAAAAGUUGCCAAUAUUGCACAAUAUUGUUUACGACAGCAAUAACCAAGGAGCCACUGCAUCAGUAGGCUUACUUCAUAUUGGACCACAGGAAGUAUGUAAAUAGAUAGAGAGAAAUGUGCGAUUGUGGGUGUCUCUCUGAAUAUUUGGAAAACCCCAGAGCUAGACCAACAAACGGCCUAAUUGGAAAUUGACGUUUGUUGAAUCAUACAUAUUAUACAAAUUAUAGUUCAUUACUAGUUAGGUUACACAAUUAGGCUUCUACUACACAAUUAGAUUGUUUUCAGCUUGAACUCCACAACUUGUGAAUGAUAGGCCUAUACGGAUAUUGCUCUCACCGCCUAUAAGUAAGGCUAAGAAUAUUAAUACGCACAGAUCACACAAUGCGUAUCUUCCCGUUUCACGCACAGAUAUUUCUAUGCAUUGAGUAAAUAAACAUGCCUCUAUGAUCUACAAGACAUUGUGAAAUACAAUACAAUUUUGUUUUUGCCGACUGAGCCCCCUUCAGCGGUCCAGAAAAUAGUCCAGACAAUAUUCGAAUUCUUGGUGAGAACGUCAACACACUACAACUGUCACUAUUGUGGAAUACAUUGAUUUUGAAUCAACUUUUUGUUUUGAAUGAUUUCUCCAGAUAUUAUCCUCGUUUAAACCCAAUUUCCCGAGAAACGUUUAAACAAUUUUCCUGGAAUCCGUGGGCAAUAUUAAAAUAUAUAUAUAUAUAUAAAAAAAAAAAUAUAAAAUCCUAUGGGCAAUAUUUUCGAAACCAUUAUUCGUUCUGAAGACCAUGUUGGGUAAACACUUAUUUCAUCAUUAACACGUUAUGUAUAGGCAAUCUAACCAAAGGUGGAACACUAGUCAAAAAAAGGUUCAUGCUUAAACAUGAGAAAAAGGCCACCGCUCUAUCUCAUAAUUACACAAAAUACAAUAAACUGCAUGUUCCUCACGAGUGUUGUAGGCCUACCCAUUUCGCAACCAUUAAAUAGAAUGAAACACAUAGGCAUAUGAAUCAUUAACAACCCAAUAAAGUAUAUUAUACAAUUAAGUUGUUGCCUUGAAAUAAAAAACAAUGUCUAUCUCGAUGUAUCAUUUUGGAGUGUGUUGUUUGAUGAUACCUUUUCAUUACAAUGUUAAGAGUAUAGCAUUAUUCUCUUGUCUUGACUACAGGAUAGCUAAGAUAUCAGUCUCCUUGCGUGUUAUGCGUUAAUUUCCAACGCACAACAACAGUGUAAAGGACCACAGCGGUGUGCUGUGUGCCUUGUGAGACUGUGGAAUCUGACUCCAAUGUUCUGUGAACGAGCAACCAGAGGACGGAUUAGGACCGCGGGGACUCUCUCCUUGUCCCACAGCGCUUUACCCAAAUCUACUCUGCCUUUCCCUCCACACACACGGAGCUUCAGGACGCGCCAACAUGACACAUGUAGGCCUAGUGUAAUACGACUUCGAAAGCAUAACAUGUACAAAGAAACUGUACGUAUGAGCUAAACCCCUCUUCCAAAAAAAAAGAGAAGCAUUAGAAUAUCCCUGGUUAUCCGUCCAUGCAUCGUCACGUUAAAUAAUUGUGGGGAUACAAACAAACACAAUGCCUUCGCGACCACACGCUCCGCCUCUUCGUCAAACCAGACACAUUCUACGACUUGUGCUAAGCCGUAAUUGAGCACAGGGUGCCCAGGAAAACCAGUGGCUGCUCUGCACAGACCUGAGUUUUUAUAGUGCCUUAGCUCCUAUUUUUCCUUCUCCGCCAGACACCAUCAAACCGACCAGGCGUGAUAGGAAGUUGCCACCUACACGGACUCAGGAGCCAAAGCCGUGCAGCGACAUAUAAAAAAACAGACAUUCUAAACCUAAACAGGUCACAGAAAUGUUGGGAGAGGGCGAUGGCGACGACAGAGGGACAGAGGAGGGACCACACAAGGACAAACCCCGACUAGUGGGAACACGAUUCAACUCCAUGGUCAAUGGGAGGACGUGGCUUUAGCCGUACUAUCUCUUGGAUCAAUUCAAGGGAAACGACUGAUAUCAGUCUCCCAUUUAACUCUCAAGGACAGAGUACCACAAAACGAGUAAAAUGACAUCAGCGAUGGAGAGGGGACAACCGCAAGAACCGAACUAACCUUGUGUUGGAAUAUGUGUUAUAAUCAUGUGGAUUUAGCUCAGAAUUGGCGAGCAAAUAACUUCACAAGGCAAAAGAUACAUUUUAAAAAUUGUCGCCAUGGACCUUUGGCUUAGCCUAUGUACAUAAUGUUGCAAUGGCUAUUGCUUAAUAAAUUGUGAAACAAAACUGCG